rnacentral:rRNA from 1 species
UACGGGGGGGGCAAGCGUUGUUCGGAAUUACUGGGCGUAAAGGGCUCGUAGGUGGCCAACUAAGUCAGACGUGAAAUCCCUCGGCUUAACCGGGGAACUGCGUCUGAUACUGCCGUUCUUGAGGGAUGCAGAGGAGAUUGGAAUUCCCGGUGUAGCGGUGAAAUGUGUAGAGAUCGGGAGGAACACCGGUGGCGAAGGCGGGUCUCUGGGCAUCUCCUGACGCUGAGGCGCGAAAGCGUGGGGAGCAAACGGG